GAGCGGCGGCACUGUGUGGAGAACAGGUACAGAGAGGAUCCAGAGGUCCUUCUGCAAUCACACAGCAGGACGGUGAAGAGGGGGCUGACUGGAGCCCUGGGACCAGACAAGAAGGGGAGGAGCUUAGAUUUCUGCUUCUGCGAAAGAAGUAUUACAGCCCUAGCCUGGCAGUGGUGGGUGGGGUAAGAGCAGAGUCUCUUGAAGGUAAAUCUUCAGACUGUGCCUGUGACAGGACGGAGGGAGGAGGCACCGCAUUUAUUUCCAGAGAAGCAAUGAGCCCUGCAGAAGGAAUAUGGUGUGAGAGCCAUUUAAGGGUGGAGACUUGAAUAGAAGAACCUGGAGGUGGGUGGCUUCCUCCUACAGUUGAUUUAAAAUCCAGAAAGCUUAGCUGACUGCAGGGAAGGGAAUCCCAGAGAAUCCUUCUCACUGAAAAAGGCGGUUUUCAAGCUCUACACAAUAGAAUUUAGUCUUUGAAAACUAUGUUUGACAGCCGAGUUGUCUGGAAAAUUCAGGGAAGAAAUGCCUUCCACUGAUGGGUACCAGUAAACUUCACCUGCACUGAGGCUUAGGGGAGGCACUUUUUUGACAAUGACCCCCAAAGUGUCCUCAGACAACCAUAAUCCCUCUGUGAGACUCCACAGAAUCUAAUUUAACCACCCACACAUGUGGCCAUUUCCUGAAGCUUCCUCCUCC
rnacentral:lncRNA from 1 species